rnacentral:rRNA from 1 species
GACGAACGCUGGCGGCGCGCUUAAUACAUGCAAGUCGAGCGAGAACCGGAGCUUCGGCUCCGGGGACAGCGGCGAACGGGUGAGUAACACGUGGGUGACCUGCCCUCGGCACCGGGAUAGCCCGGGGAAACCCGGAUUAAUACCGGAUGGCCCUUUCGGUCUUCGGACCGGUCGGCCAAGGUAGCUUCGGCCUCCGGCCGAGGAUGGGCCCGCGGCGGAUUAGCUUGAUUGUGGGUGAACGGCUCACCAAGGCUGCGAACCGUAGCUGGUCUGGUAGGCCGAUCCGCCACACUAGGACUAAGACACGGCCCAGACUCCUACGGGCGGCAGCAGUAGGGAACCUUGGGCAAUGGGCGAAAGCCUGACGCAGCGACGCCGCGUGCGGGAAGAAGGCCUUCGGGUUGUAAACCGCUUUCAGGAGGGACGAAGCCACUCGGGUGAAUAGCCCAGAGGGUGACGGUACCUCCAGAAGAAGCCCCGGCUAACUACGUGCCAGCCGCCGCGGUAA